rnacentral:rRNA from 1 species
UGGGGAAUUUGGACGAAUUGGGCGAAAGCCUGACCCAGCAAUGCCGCGUGUGUGAAGAAGGCCUUCGGGUUGUAAAGCACUUUUGUCCGGAAAGAAAUCCUUGGCUCUAAUACAGUCGGGGGAUGACGGUACCGGAAGAAUAAGCACCGGCUAACUACGUGCCAGCAGCCGCGGUAAUACGUAGGGUGCAAGCGUUAAUCGGAAUUACUGGGCGUAAAGCGUGCGCAGGCGGUUUGCUAAGACCGAUGUGAAAUCCCCGGGCUCAACCUGGGAACUGCAUUGGUGACUGGCAGGCUAGAGUAUGGCAGAGGGGGGUAGAAUUCCACGUGUAGCAGUGAAAUGCGUAGAGAUGUGGAGGAAUACCGAUGGCGAAGGCAGCCCCCUGGCAAUACUGACGCUCAUGCACGAAAGCGUGGGGAGCAAACAGGAUUAGAUCACCCUGGUAGUCCACGCCCUAAACGAUGUCAA